AUGGCGAGCUACCACUUCCUGGUGCAGCAACUCAGCGGAUAUUUCGAGGGGUGUGAGUUCUUUCACAUUCCAAGAAAUGACAAUGACCAAGCGGAUGCCCUGGCACGAGUCGGCUCCACCCGUCAAGCAAUACCAUCCGGCGUCGCCUUUCAGCGCCUCCUCAAGCUGUCUAUCAAGCCUUCGCCAGAAUCAGACUCCAUUUUUGUGACAGCUCCCCCCGAAGAAGUCGGAUCCGACUCAAGAGCACCAGCAGACGGCUCCAAAAAUACCGCAGUCAAAGCCGGCUCGGGGACUUCAGAACCCGGCCCGGGGACUGCGACAGUUAGCCUGAAGACUUCAGAACUCGGCCCGGGGACUGUUCCAUUCGGCCCGGGGACUUCAUCGACCCAGCAAGCGGCCGCGAAUCCCAGCCCGCCGCCUCCCAGCCCAACCACCCUUGUCCAAGUCGCAAUAAUGGCAAUCGAAGAAGUAGCAGCACCCUCAUGGGCCCAGUCCAUCCUCAAGUUCCUAGUAAACAGAGAGCUGCCAGCUGAUGAAAUCCUGGCUCGGCAAGUGCAACGCCGAGCGGCAGCCUAUACCAUAGUCAACAGAGAGCUGGUCAGGCGCAGUGUCACUGGUGUCUACCAACGCUGUGUCGAGGCAGAACAAGGCCAAGCAAUUCUCAGAGACAUCCAUGAAGGCGAGUGUGGCCAUCAUGCGACUUCAAGGGCACUCGUCGCCAAAGCCUUCCGACACGGAUUCUUCUGGCCGACUGCCCUGGAAGAGGCCAAAGAAUUUGUCCAAAACUGCAAAGGGUGCCAGAUGUUCCGUUCCAAGCCACUCCAGCCGGCUUCGGCGCUCAAGACCAUUCCCAUCGCCUGGCCCUUUGCGGUUUGGGGCCUGGACAUGGUGGGACCAUUCAAGACGGCACGAGGCGGCCUAACUCACCUACUUGUCGCAGUGGACAAGUUCACCAAGCGGAUAGAAGCAAAACCCAUCAAGAAAUUGAAUGGUCCGACUGCAGUAACCUUCAUCGCCGACAUUACGACUCGGUACGGCAUACCACAUAGCAU
rnacentral:rRNA from 1 species